CUAACCAUAGGCCAUGAAUCUGGUCUUGGGACACUGUCAGGUGGGCAGUUUGACUGGGGCGGUCGCCUCCCAAAAGGUAACGGAGGCGCUCAAAGGUGCUCUCAGUACGGUCGGAAAUCGUACGUAGGGUGUAAAGGCAAAAGAGAGCUUGAUUGCAAGACAUACAGGUCGAGCAAGGAUGAAAAUCGGACUUAGUGAUCCGGUGGUUCUGCGUGGAAGGGCCAU
rnacentral:rRNA from 1 species